rnacentral:rRNA from 1 species
GAUGAACGCUAGCUACAGGCUUAACACAUGCAAGUCGAGGGGAAACGGCAUCGAAAGCUUGCUUUUGAUGGGCGUCGACCGGCGCACGGGUGAGUAACGCGUAUCCAACCUGCCCAUCACUUGGGAAUAACCUUGCGAAAGUAAGACUAAUGCCCAAUGACAUCCCACGAAGGCAUCCGAAUGGGAUUAAAGAUUUAUCGGUGAUGGAUGGGGAUGCGUCUGAUUAGCUUGUUGGCGGGGUGACGACCCACCAAGGCAACGAUCAGUAGGGGUUCUGAGAGGAAGGUCCCCCACAUUGGAACUGAGACACGGUCCAAACUCCUACGGGAGGCAGCAGUGAGGAAUAUUGGUCAAUGGGCGAGAGCCUGAACCAGCCAAGUAGCGUGCAGGAUGACGGCCCUAUGGGUUGUAAACUGCUUUUAUAAGGGAAUAAAGUGGGUCACGUGUGACUUUUUGCAUGUACCUUAUGAAUAAGGACCGGCUAAUUCCGUG